CGCGGAGUGAAUGUAAAGUUCAAUGUGGGUGUCAGAAUUUCAUAUCUCAUCUCCUCACCUCUGAUCAUGUCAUCAGAAACCUGUACCGACGUGGACGCGGAGCUGGGACAGCUGCUGCAGGACUUCAACGACGCCGCGGAGGACCUGCGACUGUCGUCGAAGCCGCACGCCGAGCUGAGCGACGGUGGCUUCACGACAGAGUCCUCAAGCAGCAGUGUCGCAGGAAGAGGGACGUCGCGGGGAAACGACCAUUCAGCCAAACUCGGUGACACCAGUGACCUUCAAAACUUCAUUGAUAAUCUGGACCGGGAACUGGCUGGUAUGUGUAUACGUUUCUUUCUCUUCAUUGCACUGAAUCUACUGACUUCCCAUUGAAUUUCAAGUAAUCCCGGUAGCGGGUGUGAAAUUGUGAAUCAGAACUUUUCUGUAUAUGCACGUGUGGAAAAAGGACUAUUUUUACUUCCAUUACAGACAUGUGAGCAGAAACACACACACAGAGGGAUGCAUGAAGAUUCUGCAGGAACCAGCGUGUUUUAGCUUCAUAGUCCUGUGGAAUUCUGAUAUGUUUAUUAAAAUUAAAUAAUGUGUUUUCAAGUGAAAUUCUGUACAUUUUUACACCCAUUCUUGUACUUCAGUUAUACUGAUUGUUUACAUAAAUGUAUAUCUUUUUUUGUUCAUCAGUUUAUUUUUGUUUAAAUAAUUUCACAGAUUUUUCAAUAAAUGUAUUUUAAAUACCA
rnacentral:lncRNA from 1 species